rnacentral:lncRNA from 1 species
GUGAGCCAGCUACACCACUUCUGGACAUACACGCCAAAACCAGAGGAAAGCAAAAAGUAAAUAGCUGUAACAAACGCCUAUCAAGAUUAAAAUAUCGAGCUCUGAAGACAAAGUUUGCCACCUCUGGUAAAGGAGUUUAUAGCCCAUUCCAAUCUGAGCACUGAUGGUAUGAUGGUAUGUUCUGGCAGCAGGGGAGAGAUCAAGUGCGUCUUAGAUGAACUGGUGAUCUACUGAGACUUAUGUGGAGACCUGGAAGCAACUUGGUGACGAUUAAGAGCAUGGGCCACGUGGAUGUGACCAGAUGAAAAAUAUCUUCCAGGUAAUGAACUGGCUUUCAGGACUGCACCAGUUUAGGACUGCUGGCUUAUCACGCACAAAGACAAGAUGGGGGAAGGGUACUAUUCCAUGACCACAGCUGCAUUUUAAAGAACACGUAUGAAUGCUCACCUUGCUUUAAAUAAAUGAGAAAAUUUGCACAA